GAUGAAGAACGUAGCGAAAUGCGAUACUUGGUGUGAAUUGCAGAAUCCCGUGAACCAUCGAGUCUUUGAACGCAAGUUGCGCCCGAAGCCACUAGGCCGAGGGCACGCCUGCCUGGGCGUCACACGUCGUUGCCCCCCCCCAUCUACUCCUUCGGGAUUGCGGGGGGCGGAUGAUGGCCUCCCGUGCGCCUAGCCGCGCGGUUGGCAUAAAUACCAAGUCCUCGGCGACGCACGCCACGACAAUCGGUGGUUGCGAAACCUCGGUUGCCCGUCGUGUGCGUUCGUCGCGCAUCGAGGGCUCGAAAAAAUGCUCGGCUCCGGCUGGGCUUUCAACGCGACCCCAGGUCAGGCGGGGUUACCCGCUGAAUUUAAGCAUAUCAAUAAGCGGAGGA
rnacentral:misc_RNA from 1 species